GUGUGUGCAUGUGCAAAUAUGUGUUGCUGGCAGACAUGAUGCUGAAAUAUUAUAGCCAAGUCCAGGUUUGACCGCUGGCAUUUUGUUCUAACCAACUCAGUGGCCUUAGGGCAGACACUCUAACCACAAGGUUGGGAGUUCAAUCCCCUGCUGAAUCAUACCAAAGGGUGUAAAAAUGGAACCAGAUGCGUCUCUGUUUGGCACUCCGCAUUAAGGAGCUAGAUUGAAGGUAAGGCCAUGCGAUAGACUAGAGUCCUGUCCAGCAGGUCCAUCAAACUGCCUCAUGCUACAGAAACAAAAGAUCUGCUCCUCGGGCAAGGCUACUUACUAAAUGUGUUCUGAAUCCUGUAAAACAGUCCAAUAGCACCACCGACAGUCUUAGCACUCCUUUCCAUGAACAUCAAACUCCAGGUGCCAAGCAGGGCACAAACAUGUUCCGGUAUUAUCUGUAUAUUGCUUGUGUUACUGUCUGGUAGCUGUGGGUGGUGAGGUGAUUUGCAUUCAUAUCAGUGUUUAUAUCAGCCACAGUGUACAAUACCUUUCUGUAGAGACGCUCACUUACUCCUCAUCCAGGGAACUCCGUGCAUGACCAGAGAUCCAGCACAAGAGAUGGUACUAAUGAAGGCGAGGACAGGGACAGGCUUGUAUUCACUUGCGUGCCUUCUCAUGAUCACCAUGUGUGACACCCUGUGCUCAGACACUCACCAAUGCUUCAAUGCUACUGUUCAACAGCAGUGCUCAAAAGAUUUUAAAGUGCUACUGAACACCAGUUCUGGGUUCAAAGUGGUGGAGGGUGCUGACCUCAUCAUUGAGUGUGCCCAUAACCUGCCGGUGGAACCAAAAAUCCCGCUGGUGUUUGUCUGGCUGAUGGAUGGCGUCUCCCUGACGGGCGAGAACAGUAGCCAGCUCACCGUGAAGAAGGUCGGCAUAGCUACCUCUGGCAAGAAUAAAUACGCCUGCACCAUCCAGAGUCCCUGUGGCAACUUCACCUCAGAUCCAAAGGAGAUUGAAUUUGAAGACACGACGCUGUUGGUCAUAGUGAUCUGUGGUGUGUCUGCUGUGGUGCUGAUCCUGGCCAUGGGUAUAGGCAUGAAGAUCAUGCUGAAGAAGGAAUUUGCAAAGACCAAGAACAGGAGGCAGCAGAAUGCUCAGAACCUACAGAGAACUACCACAACAGAGUAGUGUUUCAUUUUCUGCAAAUUCCACCAAAUGUCCUUCAUGCGAAAAUGGCAAAAAUCUGACAUGAUUACACUGUGAAUGGAGAAAUAUGUAGCUAACAAUUUAUAGUUGUAUUUGCUGCAAUUUAAUCAACAUAACACUGACGUUGAGAUAAUUUUAUGAUGGAAGAGCCACAGAUGCAUAUGUUAAUCCUCUGGCAGUGACACACAGCUAGUUUGGAGAUUUGUCCCAAUAAAUAAUAUGCCAAAUUCAUGAUAUUUAAUAAUAAACAUUUACAUGUGGAUGAUGUUUCUAUUUAUAUAAUGAAUGGGGCCUAACAUAAGUGUCCAGAGGCUGCGUGUAGCCUACACAUGAUAGUCAGCAGUUACAUUUAUAGAAGCCAGGUAAGUAGGCU
rnacentral:lncRNA from 1 species